rnacentral:lncRNA from 1 species
GAACGGGGCUCUUCACCUCCCACUGUGAAGUCUAUUCUCCCAGCUCCCCACCCAGCACCUCCCACUUCCCUGCUCACUAUGGGUCUUUGAUCUGCUCUCCCUGCUUGGCCCACAGCCUCUCUAAAGCCGCAAGGAAUAGGGGCCACCCAGAGUAUGUGUCCAAGUGACCUUUGAUGAUGUGGCUGGGGACUUCCCCCUGGAGGAGUGGACUUCACUGGACCUCACUCAGAGAAACCUAUCUGGAGAUGUGAUGCUGGAGACCUACAAGAACCUGGCCACAGUAGGAAAGAACAAAAAAAUGGAGGGGAGCUCUAUGAUAAUGUGGAAAUUCUUCAGUGAAUGCUCAUGUCUUAAGACACACAAUAUUAUUCAAAAUAGAGGGAAGAUUUGCGAUGAUGAUCAUUAUGGAAAAGGCUUUCUGAUUCCUCCCAGGAAAACCAAUACCAGAAAGAAACAUUCCGAGCUUAAUGAGUCCAGAAAAGCCAUCAGCCUGACUCCAAAUACUGUGUAACAGAGAAUAUGCGCACAAGGGAUGCCCUUCGAUGCAGUGGCUGUGGGAACGCCUUUGUUAAUCACUCACACCUUCACAUACACAUGAGAACUCACAAUGAAAAAACUACAGAAGGAAUAUGGGAGAUCUUCUAUUCACUCCACAAACUUUCUGUGCAUAUACAAACUCACACCACAAAAAAAUUCCUGUGAAAGUAAAGAAUGUGGAAAAGGCUAUAGGUAUUCUGCCUAGGUUAAUAUUCACAUGUGAUCCCACACUGGAGAGAAGCCCCGUGUGUGUAAGCUAUGUG